rnacentral:rRNA from 1 species
UCCGUAGGGUGCAAUCGUUGUCCGGAUUUAUUGGGUUUAAAGGGUGCGUAGGUGGCUUUUUAAGUCAUGGGUGAAAGCCCGCAGCUCAACUGUGGAAUUGCCUGUGAUACUGAGGAGCUUGAGUGCGGUUGAGGCAGCUGGAAUUGGUGGUGUAGCGGUGAAAUGCAUAGAUACCACCAGGAACACCGAUUGCGAAGGCAGGUUGCUAAGCCGUAACUGACACUGAGGCACGAAAGCGUGGGGAGAAAACAGG